GACGAACGCUGGCGGCGUGCCUAAUACAUGCAAGUAGAACGCAGUUGCGAACGGGUGAGUAACGCGUAGGUAACUGCCUCAUAGCGGGGGAUAACUAUUGGAAAAGGUAGCUAAUACCGCAAACUGUGAGAUGGACCUGCGUUGUAUUAGCUAGUUGGUGAGGUAAAGGGUCACCAAGGCGACGAUACCUAGCCGACCUGGGAGGGUGAUCGGCCACACUGGGACUGAGGAACGGCCCAGACUCCUACGGGAGGCAGCCGUAGGGAAUCUUUGGCAAUGGGCGGAAGUCUGACCGAGCAACGGCGCGUGAGUGAAGGAGGUUUUCGGAUCGUAAAGCUCUGUUGAUCGAGAAGCGUUAACUAACCAGAAAGGGACGGCUAACUACGUGCCAGCAGCCGCGGUAAUUC
rnacentral:rRNA from 1 species